rnacentral:rRNA from 1 species
AGUGGACGCUGGCGGUAGGCCUAACACAUGCAAGUCGAACGGCAGCACAGUAAGAGCUUGCUCUUACGGGUGGCGAGUGGCGGACGGGUGAGGAAUACAUCGGAAUCUACUUUUUCGUGGGGGAUAACGUAGGGAAACUUACGCUAAUACCGCAUACGACCUACGGGUGAAAGCAGGGGAUCUUCGGACCUUGCGCGAUUGAAUGAGCCGAUGUCGGAUUAGCUAGUUGGCGGGGUAAAGGCCCACCAAGGCGACGAUCCGUAGCUGGUCUGAGAGGAUGAGCAGCCACACUGGAACUGAGACACGGUCCAGACUCCUACGGGAGGCAGCAGUGGGGAAUAUUGGACAAUGGGCGCAAGCCUGAUCCAGCCAUACCGCGUGGGUGAAGAAGGCCUUCGGGUUGUAAAGCCCUUUUGUUGGGAAAGAAAAGCAGCAGGUUAAUACCCCGCUGUUCUGACGGUACCCAAAGAAUAAGCACCGGCUAACUUCGUG